rnacentral:rRNA from 1 species
GACGAACGCUGGCGGCGUGCUUAACACAUGCAAGUCGAACGCUGAAGCUUGGUGCUUGCACUGGUUGGAUUAGUGGCGAACGGGUGAGUAAUACGUGCGUAACCUGCCCUUGAUUCUGGGAUAAGCCCGGGAAACUGGUUCUAAUACUGGCUACUACAUGCUACUGCAUGGUGCUGUGUGGAAAGGGUUUUUCUGGUUUUGGAUGGGCUGACGGCCUAUUAGCUUGUUGGUGGGGUAAUGGCCUACCAAGGCGACGACGGGUAGCCGGCCUGAGAGGGUGACCGACGACACGGGGACUGAGGGACGGCGCAGACUGGAACGGGAGGCAAAAGGGGGAAAUAUUGAACAAUGAGCGGGAGCCGGAUGAAGAGACGCCGCGUGAGGGAAGACGGCCUUAGGGGUGAAAAACUCAUUCGGCACGGAAGAAGCGGGAGUGACGGUACGUGAAGAAGAAGCGCCGGCUAACUACGUG